GUCCUUUGGUGUGAGGUAGUAGGUUGUAUAGUUUUAGGGUCCCACCCAAGCUGUCAGAUGACUAUACAACAUACUGUCUUUCCUCAAGUGGCU
ensembl:miRNA MIRLET7A3 microRNA let-7a-3